rnacentral:rRNA from 1 species
UACGGAGGGUGCAAGCGUUAUCCGGAUUCACUGGGUUUAAAGGGUGCGUAGGUGGGCUAGUAAGUCCGUGGUGAAAUCCCCCGAGCUUAACUCGGGAACUGCCGUGGAUACUAUUAGUCUUGAAUAUCGUGGAGGUAAGCGGAAAUAUGUCAUGUAGCGGUGAAAUGCUUAGAUAUGACAUAGAACACCAAUUGCGAAGGCAGCUUACUACACAGUUAUUGACACUGAGGCACGAAAGCGUGGGAUCAAACAGG